GGGGCUGGAAACAGAGCUCAGUUGGUAGAGUGCUUGCCUCACAUGCACGAGGACCUAGGUUCAAUCCUUAACACCCCCA
rnacentral:tRNA from 1 species